UACGUAGGGUGCAAGCGUUGUCCGGAAUUAUUGGGCGUAAAGAGCUCGUAGGCGGUGUGUCGCGUCGGCCGUGAAAACCUGCAGCUUAACUGUGGGCCUGCAGUCGAUACGGGCAGGCUAGAGUCCGGCAGGGGAGACUGGAAUUCCUGGUGUAGCGGUGAAAUGCGCAGAUAUCAGGAGGAACACCGGUGGCGAAGGCGGGUCUCUGGGCCGGAACUGACGCUAAGGAGCGAAAGCGUGGGGAGCGAACAGG
rnacentral:rRNA from 1 species